GGUUAUUUUUAAUACAUUGUGUCAUUACAAUGACUGAGGAUUUAUUGUCCGUUACUGACUGUCAAAAAAGUCUAUGUAUAAAAUUUCCAUAAAUAUGAUCCAAUUACUACAAGUAACAUAAUGUUUGAUGUGCCGCAACAUACAUGUCAAUUAAUAAUGUCAAUAAUUAAUUGGUUAUUUUUAAUACAAUGUGUCAUUACAAUGACUGAGGAUUUAUUGUCCGUCACUGACUGUCAAAAAAGUCUAUGUAUAAAAUUUCCAUAAAUAUGAUCCAAUUACUACAAGUAACAUAAUAUUUGAUGUGCCGCAACAUACAUGUCAAAAAAAAAAAAAAAAAAAUCAAAUAGAAAGUCUUACCUCAAAUGUAAAAAGUAGCUUUCAAAAUGAAUUUCGUGAUUCAAAAUAUAUACCUACAACAUUGAUGAUCACACAAUAUCUUGUAUGUUCAAGUAUUAACAUACAUAUAGUAUGUAGUCUAUAUACACUACUAUACUGUCUCUACACACUACUAUACUGUCUCUACAAUCCUCUACAGUUUUAUGUGUUGGAAAAUCAUCAAUUUAUGUAC